GGCGAGGGGAGUGAAAAAGAACCUGAAACCGUGUACGUACAAGCAGUGGGAGCACCCUUUGGGGUGUGACUGCGUACCUUUUGUAUAAUGGGUCAGCGACUUAUAUUCUGUAGCAAGGUUAACCGUAUAGGGGAGCCGUAGGGAAACCGAGUCUUAACCGGGCGUUAAGUUGCAGGGUAUAGACCCGAAACCCGGUGAUCUAGCCAUGGGCAGGUUGAAGGUUGGGUAACACUAACUGGAGGACCGAACCGACUAAUGUUGAAAAAUUAGCGGAUGACCUGUGGCUGGGGGUGAAAGGCCAAUCAAACCGGGAGAUAGCUGGUUCUCCCCGAAAGCUAUUUAGGUAGCGCCUCGUGAAUUCAUCUCCGGGGGUAGAGCACUGUUUCGGCUAGGGGGCCAUCCCGGCUUACCAACCCGAUGCAAACUGCGAAUACCGGAGAAUGUUAUCACGGGAGACACACGGCGGGUGCUAACGUCCGUCGUGAAGAGGGAAACAACCCAGACCGCCAGCUAAGGUCCCAAAGUCAUGGUUAAGUGGGAAACGAUGUGGGAAGGCCCAGACAGCCAGGAUGUUGGCUUAGAAGCAGCCAUCAUUUAAAGAAAGCGUAAUAGCUCACUGGUCGAGUCGGCCUGCGCGGAAGAUGUAACGGGGCUAAACCAU
rnacentral:rRNA from 1 species